rnacentral:lncRNA from 1 species
AUUGCUACAUAUCCAAAGUUCCUUAAUCCAUACUACAAUCAGAUCAGCUUUUUACUUGCUAGAUCUUUUUUCAUUGAACUUUGCACUGCAGUGCUUGCUUUGCUUGCAUGAGUGAGAGUCCUGACCCAACAGGUGAGCCACAUAGUCUACAUGCAUGACUAUGAAUGAUUGUAUCAAUUUAGUUCUGUAAAUAACCACCCAUAUAUUUAUGCAGCAACUAACUUGGUAUGAGUGACUGUGGUUACAGUCACAACUAAGAGACAGAUUCCUUUCUCUUUGGAGCUUGCCUUGAACAAACAAACUGCGUGGUAUAUACAACUGUAACCAGAGCAACUAUGUAUUGUAUGUAGCAGUAGCGGUAGCACUCUUUGGACCAGGCACCAACAUGACAAGUUAUCUACUACAUUUAGAUGCAUGCAUUGUACCGCUCAACUUCUCUGGAAUGGCAAGACAAUUGAAUCGACUCGCCAUUUAUAUGCAGGUCGACAUCUCCGCCACCGGGAUUUGAAGCAACAGCACCAUCACCGGCGUCGGCAACUACCUCAAGGAGAAGAACCCAAAUGCAAAGGUGAAGAAGAUCAUUUUUUUUCCUGUUAUGUUAACAUGUAAAUUACAUGAUCCUAUGAUGGGUUUAAUGCCAAAGUUGUUUUUGUACUCCAUUUUAAAUACAUAUCUUUGAAUGAUCCUAGCAUGCAUUUGUUCAGUUUGUAUGUGUCAAUUCUUUGAAAAUCUUAAUCUUAAAGGUUAAUUAUCUUAAAAUCCCCAAAUUCUAUGCUUGGCUGUUCAUACCUAUACCUGUGUGGUGGUGCUUAGGUUGUUUUCGAAUUCUCUUGUCCGUGUUUUUAUUUGUGCUUCUUCUCGGGCCACGAUGCAGCGGCGUUGCUACAGGUUCCCCGCUUGACUGGUGGUCUUUCGUUAUUGUGCGGCGUUGAGAGCAUGCUUCGGCUUUGGCUACUAAUGACGCAG